rnacentral:rRNA from 1 species
CCUACGGGUGGCAGCAGUGGGGGAUAUUGCACAAUGGGGGGAACCCUGAUGCAGCGACGCCGCGUGGGUGAAGAAGCGCCUCGGCGCGUAAAGCUCUGUCAGCAGGGAAGAAAAUGACGGUACCUGCAGAAGAAGCACCGGCUAACUACGUGCCAGCAGCCGCGGUAAUACGUAGGGGGCAGGCGUUAGCCGGAUUUACUGGGUGGAAGGGGGGCGCAGGCGGCGAUGCAAGCCAGGAGUGAAAGCCCGGGGCCCAACCCCGGGACUGCUCUUGAAACUGCGUGACUGGAGUGCAGGAGGGGCAGGCGGAAUUCCUGGUGUAGCGGUGAAAUGCGUAGAUAUCAGGAGGAACACCGGUGGCGAAGGCGGCCUGCUGGACUGCAACUGACGUUGAGGCGCGAAAGCGUGGGGAGCAAACAGGAUUAGAUACCCGGGUAGUC